UGGCCGGUGGCGCGCCCGAGGCGGGGUGGGGCGGGGCGAGGGGGAGCUGCAGUUAGUCCGGCGCGACGGUCGCGAGCGCGCGAGGAUCCCCGUGCCG
rnacentral:pre_miRNA from 1 species